rnacentral:lncRNA from 1 species
AAGAAUUCAUUAAUUAUAUUUUUGUGUUUGACAAGACCUUCAUACUUGUGCCUACGUACCAAGAUAAAAAUGAGGGAUCAAAACCUUGUAGUUCGUGAUACAAAUUUCAAAGUGGAUGCAUUGCUUUUAACAAAAGUUGAGUUUGAAAGGCACAAAGGCCUAAAAACUGUUUGAAUGGGUUAGUUCUUUUUUGGCUUUUUUGAAAGUUUAGGUCAAGUAUAGUUAAGUUUAUUUAUAAAUUUGGUUUAAGAAAAG